rnacentral:rRNA from 1 species
GAGAAAUUGCAAACUCCCAAACCAUCGUGGAACGUUACCUACAUCGUCUGCUUCGGCGGGUGGCGGGCUUCGGUUUCUGCCCUCGGCCCCUCUCGGGGGCCCGCCGGAGGUACACCAAACUCUUGAAUUUACAUGGCCUCUCUGAGUCUUCUGUACUGAAUAAGUCAAAACUUUCAACAACGGAUCUCUUGGUUCUGGCAUCGAUGAAGAACGCAGCGAAAUGCGAUAAGUAAUGUGAAUUGCAGAAUUCAGUGAAUCAUCGAAUCUUUGAACGCACAUUGCGCCCGCCAGUAUUCUGGCGGGCAUGCCUGUCCGAGCGUCAUUUCAACCAUCAAGCCCCCGGCUUGUGUUGGGGACCUGCGGCACACCCGCAGGCCCUGAAAACCAGUGGCGGGCUCGCUGUCCACACCGAGCGUAGUAGCAUAUCUUUGUCUCGCUCAGGGCGUGCGGCGGGUUCCGGCCGUGAAACCCACCUUCUCGAAGGUACCCAAAGGUUGACCUCGGAUCAGGUAGGAAGACCCGCUGAACUUAAGCAUAUCAAUAAGCGGGAGGAA